rnacentral:rRNA from 1 species
AGAAUCAACGCUGGCGGCGCGCCUAACACAUGCAAGUCGCACGAGAAAGCCGGAGCAAUCUGGUGAGUACAGUGGCGUACGGGUGAGUAACACGUGGGUUACCUACCCUCUGGUGGGGAAUAACCUUGGGAAACCGGGGCUAAUACCGCAUAAUUCCGAGAGGAAAAAGCCGAAAGGCGCCGGAGGAGGGGCCCGCGGCCGAUUAGCUAGUUGGUAGGGUAACGGCCUACCAAGGCGACGAUCGGUAGCCGGCCUGAGAGGGCACACGGCCACACUGGCACUGAAACACGGGCCAGACUCCUACGGGAGGCAGCAGUGGGGAAUCUUGCACAAUGGGGGAAACCCUGAUGCAGCGACGCCGCGUGAGCGAUGAAGCCCCUCGGGGUGUAAAGCUCUUUCGGCAGGAAAGAUAAUGACGGUACCUGCAGAAGAAGCUGCGGCUAACUACGUGCCAGCAGCCGCGGUAAUACGUAGGCAGCGAGCGUUGUUCGGAGUUACUGGGCGUAAAGAGUGUGUAGGCGGUUUGCCAAGUUCGGUGUGAAAUCUCCCGGCUUAACUGGGAGGGUGCGCCGAAUACUGGCAGGCUAGAGUGCGGGAGAGGAAAGCGGAAUUCCUGGUGUAGCGGUGAAAUGCGCAGAUAUCAGGAGGAACACCUGCGGUGUAGACGGCUUUCUGGACCGCCACUGACGCUGAGACACGAAAGCGUGGGUAGCAAACAGGAUUAGAUACCCUGGUAGUCCACGCCCUAAACGAUGCACACUUGGUGUGGGCAGUUCAUUCUGUCCGUGCCGUAGUUAACGCGUUAAGUGUGCCGCCUGGGGAGUACGGUCGCAAGGCUGAA